GGAAAUUCGUCACUCGUUCAUCCCGCAAUGAUUGUUUUCAGCCACUGGUAGCUUGUGCUUUAUAUGCUCUACAGUCAAUUAUAUGAUUGCAUUUCUACUUAUAGUAACUAUAUAAUUAUUAAUAUACGCCUACUGUAUGAUAGCUAGAAAAUGAAUUAGCUGACGUUAUCCUGCCUAGUUGGAACUUCUGAAGGAAAAUGUGUUAUUUCUACAAUUUCCAAAAGCUAACUAAACAAAAACAUCAUUACUUUUAUGAGACCGUCAUGUGCAUUAGAAGCACAAUUUCUAACCUGUUUACUUACACUUGUAUGCUGACGUUUUACGUUUCGGUGGACUUUUCUUAGAGGAUGUACAAUCAACGCGAAUUGAAUUAUGGGGGGGUUUCAGGCCCGAAAUGAACAUAUUUGUACACUCUCAAAAUCGACCAAAAACGACGGCUGCGGGGCUUAUGUUGCGAACUUCCCUUGUUUGGACCGACGUCCAAGAUGGUGACGGGGAUUCCCCCAAGGGCAUAAGGCGUGGGUGCAGAAUGCCAUGUAUGGAGGCUUGACAGGGGUGUACAGAUGAGCAAUGCCAGUGGAAUUUGGGGACACAGCGGAAUUUAGCUCCAAAAAGGUUGAGCGAGAUCUUUUGAGUUCUCUGACAGCACCCCGGCUGCUUCUCCAUCUCUACCUGCAACCCCUGCGUACCACUCCCACAACGCACUUAAGAAGAGUUUGGAAGGGGCCAAUGUUCCACUUGGAGCCUUCUGCACAAGUGCAUUAAAGCUAAACCAAACAGUCAUCAAGUUCCAGCAGCAGCCUCACAGUGAACACGGCAUCAACAUACAGUGUCAGAAAUGCUUGUAAUUUUAUGACUUUUUUAUAUUAAGCUGGAGGAGUGUAAAUGUGCCAGCUUGGAGGAGGUUACUAAAGCACAGAGUGCCUCCUAUGCAUGGUAUGACACACUUACAUUUCAGAUCACUGCAAGCUCAGUAAAGAAGGUUCCUGUGUGCACCUCAACAAAUCCUGACCACUUUGUGCAGGAGCAUCUCUUCCCCAGGUUCCAUGGAAACUCAGAAACCACAUAUGGCAGGUGGCCUACACAUGGAUGGAGAGCUGUGGGUUUAGUUUGGAGAGUAGAGGCACAGUAGUGAGUGUCAAGGAGCCAUGUCUUUCUGCAAGCCCCCAGAUGGAGUGUUACACUCUCAAGAACUUCUAGAAAUCAAAUGUCCUGUUCUGAGUGAGAAGUGUGAGUCUCUGGCAAACUCAUUGACGUGAACCUGGUGGAUGGAGUUCCUCAGCUGCAACAUAAUGGAGCCUGUGGGUACUACAUGCAGGAGCAAUUGGACAUGUUCUGCACAGGACUGGAGAUAUGCAAACUGCUGUCUGGGCUCUGUCCGAGCUGGUUGUUAUUGAUGUAAAGUUCUGUGCUGAUGUUAUCCCUAAACUGAAGGCAUUCUAUUUCCUACAUAUGCUGCCAAGGGUAGUAUAUGAGUUCCAGUUAGGCAGACUGUGUGCUCAAAAUAUGUUAAUCUAUGUGGUAUCUAGGCUAAUACUUUGUUUUGAAACGGUUCUUGUAUUUUGUGCCUUGUAAAGAUCUCUCUGUUAGCUCUGCCUUAUUAUCUAAGCAUAACUCUUGGUGUUUUUUGUUGUCUUGCACAGUUCUCUUCAUAUGCACAUUUACCUGAUUUAUAUUUGCAUAAUUCUUGGUGUUUUUUAUGUCUUGCCUUGUACAACUCUUCAUACAUGUUUAUCUAAUGCCUAAGGAUAACUCCUUAUGAUUUAUGAAUAUUUUAAUUGUACCUUGUAUAGCUCUUUAUUUUCAUUUGGCGCUUCAUUAACUUAUCUAAGCAUACCGUAACUCAUCUUGCACUUGAGGAAUUAUGACAUAAAUAAAAACAUUAUGAAAUUCCA